rnacentral:rRNA from 1 species
CGAAGGUUAAGAGGAUGCGUCAGUCGCAAGAUGAAGCGUUGAAUUGAAGCCCGAGUAAACGGCGGCCGUAACUAUAACGGUCCUAAGGUAGCGAAAUUCCUUGUCGGUUAAAUACCGACCUGCAUGAAUGGCGUAACGAGAUGGGAGCUGUCUCAACCAGAGAUUCAGUGAAAUUGUAGUGGAGGUGAAAAUUCCUCCUACCCGCGGCAAGACGGAAAGACCCCGUGGACCUUUACUACAACUUAGCAC